CCCCUUCCCCGGCCGCCCCCUCGGAUUUUAGGGCGGUGAAGGGAAGGGGCGGCGUUGCGGGGAGAGCCGCACGGCACGGGCGAUGCCGCUGUGCCUGGGGAGCAAACAAACAAAGCGAGGGGCUUCGAGCAUCGACGCGGGGGAGAGGUGUGGGGGGAGGGGGGGGGGAGGGGAGAGAAUUUGUUUUUGAAUGAUUUUUUCAUUUGUAUUAAUUUCUAUCUUUUCAGGUGGUGACGGAGGGAGGGGCGCCCCCCCCACACCCCCACACCCCGCAGCCCCUUCCCCCUCUCGGCUCAGGCACACGAAGCUCACGAGAGACGCAGGGAGCGGGGCCGGGUUGGGGGGGCGGGCGGGGGGGUGGGGGGAUGCCGAGCUGAAGUCCUGCACCGAGAUGGGAAUGGACACAGAAGGGAACGCCGGAGAGGGCCGGGGCGGCCGUCGGACCCCGCACGGGGCGGGGCUGCUCCGCUGUGCUGCGUCCCGGGGCGGUGUUCCGGGAGCCCUCCGCUCUCGUUCCGUUCUUUAAAGAGAAACCCAAAAAACCCAAACAAACAAAACCAACCCAAACCGGCCUCCCCCCCCCCCCCCGCCCCUUCCCCCCCCGCCCCGCCAUUGUUAUUGGCAAACCGGAUCCUCUCACGGCGGGAAUAGAAAAGCGAGCAGGUCAGCUGCCCCCCUCCCCCACCAUAAAAACACGGCUGGGCACGAGCUGUGCUGGGGGCACGGGUAGCACCGAACGGGGCUUCUCCAGCGUUAAAAAGCGAUAUGGUGUUGCGGUGGUACAGUGGGGCCAUAUCCCGCCGGCUCUCGGCUGCUCUGCACCCAGAGAGUGGAUGGAUGGAUGGGUGGAUGGAUGGAUGGAUGGAUGGAUGGAUACAUGGAUGGAUAGGUAGAUGGAUGGAAAGGAUGCGGGGAAGGAAGGAAGGAUGGAUAGAUGGAUGGAAAGGAUGGAGGGAAGGAAGGAAGGAAAGAGAGAAAGACAGAAGGAAGGAAGGAAAGAGAGAAAAGGAAGGAAGGAAAGAGAGAAAAGGAAGGAAGGAAAGAAAGAGAGAAAGAAAAGGAAAGAAGGAAAGAGAAAGAAAAGGAAAGAAGGAAAGAGAAAGAAAAGGAAGGAAGGAAAGAGAAAGAAAAGGAAGGAAGGAAAGAGAAAGAAAAGGAAGGAAGGAAAGAGAGAAAGAAAAGGAAGGAAGGAAGGAAGGAAGGAAGGAAGGAAGGAGAGAAAGAAGGAAGGAAGGAAAGAAGGAAAAGGUAGCACUGUCUGCAGUGUAGGGUUGUUAGAGAAGGUUCCCCCACUGCUGCCACCAAACAGUUAAAACGUUCCAAGCCCUGUCCGAAAUGCAGUGUCGCGCUGUUGCUCUCUGCCUGGGCCGAGGUUUCAUCCUCCCCCCGCCCCGCCCCGCAGCCCUCAGCCCUCAGCCCCGCUCCAUCCAUGCCCGCUGACUGCCGGCCCCCGCACAGCCCGGGCUGCGGGCACGGAGGGCGGACAAACCGUUUCCUUUCCCCGGAACGUUUUGGAGGAGGAGGAGGGCCUGGAGGUGCCCCGGAGGUGAGGGAGAGGCCGGGGCUGUGCCUCCGCGCUGCGUGUGGACAACGCUCUGCAGGAGCCGGGACUUCACCGAGAGAGUAAUGCAGAAAGUGCGGUUGCAUCUCGGAUCGGAGAGGAACCCCGAAAGGCUCAGAGAAAAACCCCAAUGAAAUAUUGGUUUGGAGAAGGAAAAAAAAAAAAGAAAAAAGAGAAUGUCCAUACAAAUAUCUGUCUACCUUCUGGAUUUACCCCUCGUUCUCCUUUCUUCCUUCUCUUUAUUCUUUCCUUCCUUCUUUUCUUUCUUUUUUUUCUCCCCCUUUCUUUUAUUUCUUUCUUUCCUUUAUUUUUUUCUCUCUUCCCUUUACUUUACCUCUCCCUUCCUUUCCUUCCUUUCCUUCCUUUCCUUCCUUUCCUUCCUUUCCUUCCUUUCCUUCCUUUCCUUCCUUUCCUUCCUUUCCUUCCUUUCCUUCCUUCCCUUCCUUCCCUUCCUUCCCUUCCUUCCCUUCCUUCCCUUCCUUCCCUUCCUUCCCUUCCUUCCCUUCCUUCCCUUCCUUUCCUUCCUUUCCUUCCUUUCCUUCCUUUCCUUCCUUUCCUUCCUUCCUCUCUUCCCGUUCCUGUUCCCUCCCUGUUUCCCUUUUCACCCCUCUCCCUUCUCCCAUCCCUCCCUUCUCCCAUCCCUCCCUUCCCUCCUGCCCCGUCCCCUCUCUCUCCUCCGGGGCACACAGGGACUAUCGCAGCCCGGCCGCGCUCCGUUCCCCUCCCGGUGCCGCACCCCCAGGACGCAGCGGGGCCGUUCCAAGUUCAAAGUCUCACGGCCGUCCCCCGAGAGUCUCUUUACCCCUCCCCGCACCGCGGCCCCUUUUCCCCGGGCGCCGGAGAGCCCCUCUCCGGGUAGAAUGUGAUUCCGGAGCCGGGCCGGAGCUCUCCUCCGCGGACAGAACUUCAGCUUCUUCCGGGGGCGACGUACGGCUGCGAAGAGAGGAAGGAGGGGAGAGGGCACAACCAAAAACGCGCCCCGGGUUUCCCGAGGCCGCCCCUCUCCCUCCGUUCUCUUCCAACACAUACAGACGCAAACGGAAGGAGGGAUUCCUUUUUUCUUAUUUUGCCCCCGUCUGAGCGAAUCCCCAAAGGGGACGAGCCGGGAGAAACGGGCCACGCUUUCCCCGUCAAAGCGCACGCUGAAAAUGGCAACUGCGCGACUUCUGCCGCGGGUCUCUCUCCCGAAGGCUGUCCCCUCCCGCCCGAGCCCCGGCCCCGCUUGUCCUCCGCCGUGGGGAGGGCUCCCGGCCCUGCCCGCACCUCCCGGCCUCUCCCGGCAGCUGUGGGGCAGCCGCCAGCGCAGCCCCGCGCAGGAUGCGCGCAACCCGAG
ensembl:lncRNA